GAUGAAGAACGCAGCAAAAUGCGAUAAGUAAUGUGAAUUGCAGAAUUCAGUGAAUCAUCGAAUCUUUGAACGCACAUUGCGCCCGCUGGUAUUCCGGCGGGCAUGCCUGUUCGAGCGUCAUUUCAACCCUCAAGCCCCCGGGUUUGGUGUUGGGGAUCGGCUCUGCCCUUCUGGGCGGUGCCGCCCCCGAAAUACAUUGGCGGUCUCGCUGCAGCCUCCAUUGCGUAGUAGCUAACACCUCGCAACUGGAACGCGGCGCGGCCAUGCCGUAAAACCCCAACUUCUGAAUGUAGACCUCGGAUCAGGUAGGAAUACCCGCUGAACUUAAGCAUAUCAAUAAGCGGAGGA
rnacentral:misc_RNA from 1 species